rnacentral:rRNA from 1 species
UACGGGGGGGGCAAGUGUUCUUCGGAAUGACUGGGCGUAAAGGGCACGUAGGCGGUGAAUCGGGUUGAAAGUGAAAGUCGCCAAAAAGUGGCGGAAUGCUCUCAAAACCAAUUCACUUGAGUGAGACAGAGGAGAGUGGAAUUUCGUGUGUAGGGGUGAAAUCCGUAGAUCUACGAAGGAACGCCAAAAGCGAAGGCAGCUCUCUGGGUCCCUACCGACACUGGGGUGCGAAAGCAUGGGGAGCGAACAGG